AGCGAACGCUGGCGGCGUGCUUAACACAUGCAAGUCGAACGUGAAAGGGGGCAACCCUGAGUAAAGUGGCGUACGGGUGAGUAACACGUAGGUAAUCUACCCUAGAGUCCGGAAUAACCUGCCGAAAGGCGGGCUAAUACUGGAUAGAGCGACGGAAUCCGUAAUUGGGUUUUUCGGGAAAGGGAGCUCGCAAGAGCCCUCGCUUUAGGAUGAGCCUGCGUCCCAUUAGCUAGUUGGCGGGGUAAUGGCCCACCAAGGCAGUGAUGGGUAGCUGGUCUGAGAGGAUGAUCAGCCACACUGGAACUGAAACACGGUCCAGACUCCGUACGGGAGGCAGCAGGUGGGAAUCUUGCGCAAGUGGACGAAAGUCUGACGCAGCCACGCCGCGUGAGU
rnacentral:rRNA from 1 species